CCUACGGGAGGCAGCAGUGAGGAAUAUUGGUCAAUGGUCGGGAGACUGAACCAGCCAAGCCGCGUGAGGGAUGAAGGUACAGAGUAUCGUAAACCUCUUUUGUCAGGGAACAAAGGCGGGGACGUGUCCCCGGAUGAGUGUACCUGAAGAAAAAGCAUCGGCUAACUACGUGCCAGCAGCCGCGGUAAUCCGGAGGAUGCGAGCGUUAUCCGGUUUUAUGGGGUUUAAGGGGUGGGCGGGAGGUCUGUAAAGCCGCCGGUCAACGCCGGGGGCGCACCCCCGGACCGCCGUUGAACCUGGGAGUCUCGAGUAGGAGAGAAGUAUGCGGAAUGCGCGGUGGAGCGGUGAAAUGCAUAGAUAUCGCGCAGAACUCCGAUUGCGAAGGCAGCAUGCCGGCUCCACACUGACGCUGAGGCACGAAAGCGUGGGUAUCGAACAGGAUUAGAUACCCGUGUAGUC
rnacentral:rRNA from 1 species